rnacentral:rRNA from 1 species
CUGGACUUGACAUUUACAGAACUUUCAAGAGAUUGAUUGGUGUCUGCUUGCAGAAACUGUAGGACAGGUGCUGCACGGCUGUCGUCAGCUCGUGUCGUGAGAUGUUGGGUUAAGUCCCGCAACGAGCGCAACCCACGUCGUUAGUUGCUAACAGUUCGGCUGAGAACUCUAACGAGACUGCCUGGGCAACCAGGAGGAAGGUGUGGACGACGUCAAGUCAUCAUGGCCCUUACGUCCAGGGCUACACACGUGCUACAAUGGGGUAUACAAAGAGCCGCGAUACCGCGAGGUGGAGCAAAUCUCAAAAAUAUCUCCCAGUUCGGAUUGUACUCUGCAACUCGAGUGCAUGAAGUUGGAAUCGCUAGUAAUCGUAGAUCAGCAAUGCUACGGUGAAUACGUUCCC